GCGGGUGUAACUCAGUGGUAGAGUGUCAGCUUCCCAAGCUGGAGGUCGCGGGUUCGAAUCCCGUCGCCCGCUCCA
rnacentral:tRNA from 7 species